rnacentral:misc_RNA from 1 species
CCUUCAUACCUUCUUAUCAACCCUUGGUGCACUGACCUGUAGGCCUUGAACUGCCUAGAGGGUAGUUUGAUCAUGACAAGGUCACCCACUUGGAACUCCAAGGGCCUCCUUCUCAUAUCUGCCCAUUUCUUCAUUUUCUUGGAAGCCUUGUCUAGGUAGACUCUUGCCUCAUCAAGCUGCUCUCCCCAACCCUUAGCCCAUUUGUAGGCUGAAGGACUUACCCC